GAUCUCCCCUCCCUAAGGAAACUGGACCAUAAGAAUUGCGACAGCGCAUCAGACCAGCGGUCCAUCCAGUCCAGUGUCCUGGCUCUGGCAGUGGCCAGGAUCAGAUGUUCCAGAGAGGAAGGUAACAUAACAGUAAACAUACACUGCUAAGGCCGUAAUAAGCCAGUUGCUGCCUUGAUUCUACCCUCCACUCACAUUUGUGGAGUUCGACUUUGGAAAACGUCAACAGAUUUGUGUUGAACCCUCAUGGAAUAAACUUCUGGGUUUCCUUACUUCGGAAAAGAAAGCAAACUGCUCCAGUUGCUUUGUUGCCUCACUGGCUUAGUCCAUCUUUUAAAAGAAAAUAAUUUCAUCAGGGCUUGUCACCAAAAUGGACCGUUCCCUUCCUUUGCAGCUCAACGGGGUGAUGGCUAAGCAGUGGAAUUUAAAAAGAAUGAGAAGAAAAAAGGAACAGCCCCCGC